GACGAACGCUGGCGGCGUGCUUAACACAUGCAAGUCGAACGGAAAGGCCUCAGCUUGCUGGGGUACUCGAGUGGCGAACGGGUGAGUAACACGUGGGUGAUCUGCCUUGCACUCUGGGAUAAGCUUGGGAAACUGGGUCUAAUACCGGAUAUGAACUGCCUUUAGUGUGGUGGUUGGAAAGUUUUUUCGGUGCAAGAUGAGCUCGCAGCCUAUCAGCUUGUUGGUGGGGUAAUGGCCUACCAAGGCGUCGACGGGUAGCCGGCCUGAGCGGGUGUACGGCCACAUUGGGACUGAGAUACGGCCCAGACUCCUACGGGAGGCAGCAGUGGGGAAUAUUGCACAAUGGGCGGAAGCCUGAUGCAGCGACGCCGCGUGGGGGAUGACGGCCUUCGGGUUGUAAACUCCUUUCGACAGGGACGAAGCUUUUUGUGACGGUACCUGUAUAAGAAGCACCGGCUAACUACGUG
rnacentral:rRNA from 1 species